rnacentral:rRNA from 1 species
UUGGAGGGCAAGUCUGGUGCCAGCAGCCGCGGUAAUUCCAGCUCCAAUAGCGUAUAUUAAAGUUGUUGCAGUUAAAAAGCUCGUAGUUGAAUUUCGGGGUUAGUAGGUUGGUCAUGCCACUGGUAUGUACUGGUCUCACUGAUUCCUCCUUCCUGAUGAGCCGUAAUGCCAUUAAUUUGGUGUUGCGAGGAAUCUGGACUGUUACUUUGAAAAAAUUAGAGUGUUUAAAGCAAGCUAACGCUUGAAUACAUUAGCAUGGAAUAAUGAAAUAGGACGUUCGAUCCUAUUUUGUUGGUUUCUAGGAUUGACGUAAUGAUUAAUAGGGAUAGUUGGGGGCAUUAGUAUUCAAUUGUCAGAGGUGAAAUUCUUGGAUUUAUUGAAGACUAACUACUGCGAAAGCAUUUGCCAAGGAUGUUUUCAUUAAUCAAGAACGAAAGUUAGGGGAUCGAAGACGAUCAGAUACCGUCGUAGUCUUAACCAUAAACUAUGCCGACUAGGGAUCGGACGAAGUUAAUUUUAUAAUGACGCGUUCGGCGCCUUACGGGAAAC